GACGUAGGGUGCGAGCGUUGUCCGGAUUUAUUGGGCGUAAAGAGCUCGUAGGCGGCUCGUCGCGUCGGCUGUGAAAACCCGCGGCUUAACUGUGGGCUUGCAGCUGAUACGGGCGGGCUAGAGUUCGGUAGGGGAGACUGGAAUUCCUGGUGUAGCGGUGAAAUGCGCAGAUAUCAGGAGGAACACCGGUGGCGAAGGCGGGUCUCUGGGCCGAUACUGACGCUGAGGCGCGAAAGCCAGGGGAGCGAACGGG
rnacentral:rRNA from 1 species